AUACGGAGGGUGCAAGCGUUGUUCGGAAUCACUGGGCGUAAAGCGCGCGCAGGCGGCUUGAUAAGUUGGAUGUGAAAGCCUACGGCUCAACCGUAGAACUGCAUCCAAAACUGUCAGGCUAGAGUCUGGGAGGGGAAGAUGGAAUUAGUUGUGUAGGGGUAAAAUCCGUAGAGAUAACUAGGAAUACCAAAAGCGAAGGCGAUCUUCUGGAACAGUACUGACGCUGAGGCGCGAAAGCGUGGGGAGCAAACAGGAUUAGAAACCCCAGUAGUCC
rnacentral:rRNA from 1 species